GAGUAAUGUCUGGGAAACUGCCUGAUGGAGGGGGAUAACUACUGGAAACGGUGGCUAAUACCGCAUAACGUCGCAAGACCAAAGAGGGGGACCUUCGGGCCUCUUGCCAUCAGAUGUGCCCAGAUGGGAUUAGCUAGUUGGUGAGGUAACGGCUCACCAAGGCGACGAUCCCUAGCUGGUCUGAGAGGAUGACCAGCCACACUGGAACUGAGACACGGUCCAGACUCCUACGGGAGGCAGCAGUGGGGAAUAUUGCACAAUGGGCGCAAGCCUGAUGCAGCCAUGCCGCGUGUAUGAAGAAGGCCUUCGGGUUGUAAAGUACUUUCAGCGGGGAGGAAGGUGUUGUGGUUAAUAACCGCAGCAAUUGACGUUACCCGCAGAAGAAGCACCGGCUAACUCCGUGCCAGCAGCCGCGGUAAUACGGAGGGUGCAAGCGUUAAUCGGAAUUACUGGGCGUAAAGCGCACGCAGGCGGUCUGUCAAGUCGGAUGUGAAAUCCCCGGGCUCAACCUGGGAACUGCAUUCGAAACUGGCAGGCUUGAGUCUUGUAGAGGGGGGUAGAAUUCCAGGUGUAGCGGUGAAAUGCGUAGAGAUCUGGAGGAAUACCGGUGGCGAAGGCGGCCCCCUGGACAAAGACUGACGCUCAGGUGCGAAAGCGUGGGGAGCAAACAGGAUUAGAUACCCUGGUAGUCCACGCCGUAAACGAUGUCUACUUGGAGGUUGUGCCCUUGAGGCGUGGCUUCCGGAGCUAACGCGUUAAGUAGACCGCCUGGGGAGUACGGCCGCAAGGUUAAAACUCAAAUGAAUUGACGGGGGCCCGCACAAGCGGUGGAGCAUGUGGUUUAAUUCGAUGCAACGCGAAGAACCUUACCUGGUCUUGACAUCCACAGAACUUUCCAGAGAUGGAUUGGUGCCUUCGGGAACUGUGAGACAGGUGCUGCAUGGCUGUCGUCAGCUCGUGUUGUGAAAUGUUGGGUUAAGUCCCGCAACGAGCGCAACCC
rnacentral:rRNA from 2 species